AUGGAUAAUGCACUUUUUAAAACUUCUGGAACCAGCUCCCUCAUCUAUUCGAGAGUGGAGCUGCUGGCACUAAGAACAAAGGGACAGACCGGCAUGCGACACAACAUCCCGGCUGAGAUAAAGAGGAGCUACAGAGGCUGCAAGGCUGGAGCGAGGAAAGCGGAUCACCGGAGGCGAUUCAAACCAUCAAUCCCGACAGUGAUAAUGGGCAACGUGAACUCGUUACAGAAUAAGAUUGAUGAACUGACUGCUCUGAACAGCCACCGACUAUACCGUGAGUGCAGUCUGUUUAUCUUCACGGAGACGUGGCUAACCAAGCUAACGCCACAGGCUAACGUAGACCUAUGCGGUUUCACAUCCGUGAGAGCCGAUAGGGACACGCAGGCCAGCGGGAAAAGCAGAGGUGGGGGACUCAUUGUCUACGUUAACAACAGAUACUACAACCCUGGACACGUCUCCGUUAAAGCUUCGGUAUGCCGUCCGGACCUGGAGCUGCUAGCUGUUAGCUUGCGGCCAUAUUAUCUACCUCGGGAGUUCAGUCAUGUGAUCUGUGUGUGUGUUUACAUCCCUCCAAGGGCCGACGCAGCAGCUGCCUGUGAGAAAAUACACACAGUCACAGCAAGACUUCAGACACAAAACCCAGAGGCUUUCAUUAUUAUAUCUGGAGACUUUAAUCAUGCCACACUGGAUUCUACUCUGGCUGCUUUUCACCAGUUUGUGAAUUGUCCCACAAGGAGCAACAGGACAAUUGACCUACUGUAUGCUAAUGUGAGAGAUGCAUACAGAGCCAACCCCCUCCCCCCACUAGGGAAGUCAGACCACAACCUGGUUUAUCUACAGCCACAAUACACACCCCUCGUCCAAAGGCAGCCUGUCACAACACGCUCCAUCAGAAAAUGGACCCCAGAAAAGGAGGAUGCUCUGAGAGACUGCUAUGACACCACAGACUGGGAUGUGCUUCUGAGCCCACAUGGUGAGGACAUAGAGUGGGCGACACACUGUCUGACAGACUACCUCAACUUUUGUGUGGACACGGUCGCCCCUGCUAAGACGGUACGGUGUUAUCCUAAUAACAAACCGUGGGUAACACAGGAAGUCAAAGCUGUCCUCAACAUGAAGAAGAAGGCUUUCAGGAGCAAAGUGAAGGAGGAGAUGAAAGCAGCACAGCGGGAGGUGAAACGCUGCCUGAGAGAAGCAAAGGACACCUACAGGAGGAAGGUGGAGCAGAAGUUGGAGAGGAACAAUAUGAGGGAGGUCUGGAAUGGUGUGAAAACCAUCACAGGCCACAACACCAAGAACAGCACAGUGGGGGGGACUGUGGAGAAGGCAAACGAACUCAACAACUUCUUCAACAGGUUUGACCAGCCCACAACCCCCCCACCCUCACCCUCACCCUCACCUUUACUACAGAGCCCUCUCCCCACUCUCCUACCUCCCUCGCUUCCCCCCCUUCCCGACACUAUGACAUCCCCCUUUUCCAAUCCCUCUCUCAGCAGCAAGACAUCUUCUUCCCCCCCUUCCUCCCAAUCAUCUCCCUGUGUCACAGUGGAUCAGUUCAGGAGACAACUGAGGAAGCUUCGCCCCAGAAAGGCAGCAGGCCCAGACAAGGUGCGUCCCAGGAUGCUAAAGGCGUGUGCUGCUGAACUUGGGGAGCCGCUACAACGAGUCUUCAAUCUCAGUCUGCGACUGGGGAGAGUGCCCGCCCUCUGGAAGACAUCCUGCAUCGCCCCGGUCCCCAAAAAAGAACCGGCCCAAUGA
ensembl:lncRNA